rnacentral:rRNA from 1 species
GAUGAACGCUGGCGGCGUGCCUAAUACAUGCAAGUCGAGCGAACAGAUGAGGAGCUUGCUCCUCUGACGUUAGCGGCGGACGGGUGAGUAACACGUGGAUAACCUACCUAUAAGACUGGGAUAACUUCGGGAAACCGGAGCUAAUACCGGAUAAUAUAUUGAACCGCAUGGUUCAAUAGUGAAAGACGGUUUUGCUGUCACUUAUAGAUGGAUCCGCGCCGCAUUAGCUAGUUGGUAAGGUAACGGCUUACCAAGGCAACGAUGCGUAGCCGACCUGAGAAGGUGAUCGGCCACACUGGAACUGAGACACGGUCCAGACUCCUACGGGAGGCAGCAGUAGGGAAUCUUCCGCAAUGGGCGAAAGCCUGACGGAGCAACGCCGCGUGAGUGAUGAAGGUCUUCGGAUCGUAAAACUCUGUUAUUAGGGAAGAACAAAUGUGUAAGUAACUAUGCACGUCUUGACGGGACCUAAUCAGAAAGCCACGGCUAACUACGU